rnacentral:rRNA from 1 species
AUAGCCUCGGGAAACCGAGGUUAAUACCGGAUACUCCAUAUAUAUCGCAUGAUGUAUAUGGGAAAAGCUCCGACGGCAAAGGAUGGGGCCCGCGGCCUGUUAGCUAGUUGGUGGGGUAACGGCCUACCCAAGGCAAUGAUGGGUAGCCGGGUUGAGAGACCGACCGGCCAGAUUGGGACUGAGACACGGCCCAGACUCCUACGGGAGGCAGCAGUGGGGAAUCUUGCACAAUGGGCGAAAGCCUGAUGCAGCGACGCCGCGUGCGGGAUGAAGGCCUUCGGGUCGUAAACCGCUUUCAGCAGGGACGAGGCCGCAAGGUGACGGUACCUGCAGAAGAAGCCCCGGCUAACUACGUGCCAGCAGCCGCGGUAAU